rnacentral:rRNA from 1 species
CUGCGGCAGCGACGCUUAUGCGUUGUUGGGUAGGGGAGCGUUCUGUAAGCCUGUGAAGGUGUACUGUGAGGUAUGCUGGAGGUAUCAGAAGUGCGAAUGCUGACAUAAGUAACGAUAAAGCGGGUGAAAAGCCCGCUCGCCGGAAGACCAAGGGUUCCUGUCCAACGUUAAUCGGGGCAGGGUGAGUCGACCCCUAAGGCGAGGCCGAAAGGCGUAGUCGAUGGAAAACAGGUUAAUAUUCCUGUACUUGGUGUUACUGCGAAGGGGGGACGGAGAAGGCUAUGUUGGCCGGGCGACGGUUGUCCCGGUUUAAGCGUGUAGGCUGGUUUUCCAGGCAAAUCCGGAAAAUCAAGGCUGAGGCGUGAUGACGAGGCACUACGGUGCUGAAGCAACAAAUGCCCUGCUUCCAGGAAAAGCCUCUAAGCAUCAGGUAACAUCAAAUCGUACCCCAAACCGACACAGGUGGUCAGGUAGAGAAUACCAAGGCGCUUGAGAGAACUCGGGUGAAGGAACUAGGCAAAAUGGUGCCGUAACUUCGGGAGAAGGCACGCUGAUAUGUAGGUGAAGCGACUUGCUCGUGGAGCUGAAAUCAGUCGAAGAUACCAGCUGGCUGCAACUGUUUAUUAAAAACACAGCACUGUGCAAACACGAAAGUGGACGUAUACGGUGUGACGCCUGCCCGGUGC